rnacentral:rRNA from 1 species
UUGAACGCUGGCGGUAUGCUUAACACAUGCAAGUCGAACGGAAACGAUACUAGCUUGCUAGUAGGCGUCGAGUGGCGGACGGGUGAGUAACGCGUAGGAAUCUGCCUGAUAGUGGGGGAUAGCCCGAAGAAAUUCGGAUUAAUACCGCAUAAUCUAUUCGUAGUAAAGUGGGGGACUUUCGAGCCUCACGCUAUCAGAUGAGCCUGCGUAAGAUUAGCUUGUUGGUAGGGUAAAAGCCUACCAAGGCGACGAUCUUUAGCUGGUCUGAGAGGAUGAUCAGCCACAUCGGGACUGAGACACGGCCCGAACUCCUACGGGAGGCAGCAGUGGGGAAUAUUGGACAAUGGGGGCAACCCUGAUCCAGCAAUACCGCGUGUGUGAAGAAGGCCUGAGGGUUGUAAAGCACUUUCAAUUGUGAAGAAAAGUUAGCGGUUAAUAACCGUUAGCCUUGACGUUAACUUUAGAAGAAGCACCGGCUAACUCCGUGCCAGCAGCCGCGGUAAUACGGAGGGUGCCAAGCGUUAAUCGGAAUUACUGGGCGUAAAGCGUGCGUAGGCGGUUUAUUAAGUCAGAUGUGAAAGCCCCCCGGGCUUAACCUGGGAACUGCAUUUGGAACUGGUCCAACUAGAGUAUGGUAGGAGGAAAGUGGAAUUUCCUGGUGUAGGCGGGUGAAAUGCGUUAGGAUAUUCAGAAGGGAACCAUCCAAUGGGGCGAGGGCCAGGCUUUUCCUGGGACCCAAUACUUGACCGGCUGGAGGUUACGAAAAGGCGUGGGGUAGCAAAACAGGGAUUAGAUACCCCUGGGUAGUCCACGCCGGUAAACGAUGAAUAACUAGCCGUUGGGGGGAUUUACCCUUUAGUGGCGAAGCUAACGCGUUAAGUUAUCCGCCUGGGGAGUACGGCCGCAAGGUUAAAACUCAAAGGAAUUGACGGGGACCCGCACAAGCGGUGGAGCAUGUGGUUUAAUUUCGAUGCAACGCGAAGAACCUUACCUGGUCUUGACAUCCUGCGAACUUUCUAGAAAUAGAUUGGUGCCUUCGGGAACGCAGUGACAGGUGCUGCAUGGCUGUCGUCAGCUCGUGUCGUGAGAUGUUGGGUUAAGUCCCGUAACGAGCGCAACCCCUAUCCUUAUUUGCCAGCACAUCAUGGUGGGAACUAUAAGGAGACUGCCGGUGAUAAACCGGAGGAAGGCGGGGACGACGUCAAGUCAUCAUGGCCCUUACGACCAGGGCUACACACGUGCUACAAUGGGAAGGACAAAGAGCCGCGAAGCCGCGAGGUGUAGCUAAUCUCAUAAACCUUUUCGUAGUCCGGAUUGGAGUCUGCAACUCGACUCCAUGAAGUCGGAAUCGCUAGUAAUCGUAGAUCAGAAUGCUACGGUGAAUACGUUCCCGGGUCUUGUACACACCGCC